rfam:Clostridium sp. CAG:798 genomic scaffold, scf5
AAAUCCCUGCGUGGUACGUAUUGACUGGAAUUUUAGAACCAACAAAUUUAAAACGGGAGUCCGCCUUUGGAUGUGGCGUGUAUGCUUAUAUUUAUAUAAGAAACCCAGGAGCAUUCAACAAGACACCCACCUGUGCAAACAGGUCCUUAAAAUUUCUUCAUCUUACGGCUAAUGUGGGGUAUUU